UGGGGAAUAUUGCACAAUGGGCGCAAGCCUGAUGCAGCCAUGCCGCGUGUAUGAAGAAGGCCUUCGGGUUGUAAAGUACUUUCAGUCGGGAGGAAGGUGGUAAGGUUAAUAACCUUAUCAAUUGACGUUACCGACAGAAGAAGCACCGGCUAACUCCGUGCCAGCAGCCGCGGUAAUACGGAGGGUGCAAGCGUUAAUCGGAAUUACUGGGCGUAAAGCGCACGCAGGCGGUCUGUCAAGUCGGAUGUGAAAUCCCCGGGCUUAACCUGGGAACUGCAUUCGAAACUGGCAGGCUAGAGUCUUGUAGAGGGGGGUAGAAUUCCAGGUGUAGCGGUGAAAUGCGUAGAGAUCUGGAGGAAUACCGGUGGCGAAGGCGGCCCCCUGGACGAAGACUGACGCUCAGGUGCGAAAGCGUGGGGAGCAAACAGG
rnacentral:rRNA from 1 species